UACAGAGGGGGCAAGCGUUGUUCGGAAUUACUGGGCGUAAAGGGCGCGUAGGCGGCCUUCUAAGUCGAACGUGAAAUCCCUGGGCUCAACCCAGGAACUGCGUCCGAUACUGGAAGGCUUGAAUCCGGGAGAGGGAUGCGGAAUUCCAGGUGUAGCGGUGAAAUGCGUAGAUAUCAAGAGGAACACCUGAGGGGAAGACGGGUUGCUGGGCCGACACUGACGCUGACAGCGCGAAAGCCAGGGGAGCAAACGGG
rnacentral:rRNA from 1 species